CGACGGUGAGUAACGCGUAUGCAACUUGCCUAUCGGAGGGGGACGAACCGGCGAAAGUCGGACUAAUACCGCAUGAAGCAGGGGCCCCGCAUGGGGAUAUUUGCUAAAGAUUCAUCGCUGAUAGAUAGGCAUGCGUUCCAUUAGGCAGUUGGCGGGGUAGCGGCCCACCAAACCGACGAUGGAUAGGGGUUCUGAGAGGAAGGUCCCCCACAUUGGUACUGAGACACGGACCAA
rnacentral:rRNA from 1 species